rnacentral:lncRNA from 1 species
GGAAGCAAACAUAUCCAAACUUCCUCCCUCCCACUCCUCAGAUUCCUUUAGAUUUUUAUUAGAUGAUAUCAAUAACAACAGGCCUCUCUCUCUAUCUAUCCAUCCACCUAACUAUCUCUCUUUCUGUUAUCAGUCUCAGAUUAAAACCUGUGUUCUAUUUCUCUUUUCAGAUUCCGUGAAUCUCUCUCUCAGCCCUGUAGAGAAAUAUAGUGUGUUGUCUCAGACCGGAGGAGGUCUGAGGCGUGGCAAUAUAAACCAGCAUGUCAGCCAUGUUGACUGAGCUGUCGGUCAACAUCAUGGAGGCAAUGAGUCAGGGCCGCUAAACUUAACAGGAAGAUCAGGUCAACAACAUGGAGACAAUGAGUCAGGGCCGCUAAGCUUAACAGGAAGAUCAGGUCAACAACAUGGAGGCAAUGAGUCAGUACCGCUAAACUUAACAGGAAGAUCAGGUCAACAACAUGGAGGCAAUGAGUCAGGACCGCUAAACUUAACAGGAA